rnacentral:rRNA from 1 species
UAGGGAAUCUUCCGCAAUGGACGAAAGUCUGACGGAGCAACGCCGCGUGAGUGAAGAAGGAUUUCGGUUCGUAAAACUCUGUUGUUAGGGAAGAAAAAAUGUAUAGUAACUAUAUACAAAAGAGACGGUACCUAACCAGAAAGCCACGGCUAACUACGUGCCAGCAGCCGCGGUAAUACGUAGGUGGCAAGCGUUGUCCGGAAUUAUUGGGCGUAAAGCGCGCGCAGGUGGUUUAGAAAGUCUGAUGUGAAAGCCCACGGCUCAACCGUGGAGGGUCAUUGGAAACUAAUAAACUUGAGUGCAGGAGAGAAAAGUGGAAUUCCUAGUGUAGCGGUGAAAUGCGUAGAGAUUAGGAGGAACACCGGUGGCGAAGGCGGCUAUCUGGACAGUAACUGACGCUGAGGCGCGAAAGCGUGGGGAGCAAACAGG